rnacentral:rRNA from 1 species
CCUACGGGAGGCAGCAGUGGGGAAUAUUGCACAAUGGGGGAAACUCUGAUCCAGCGAAGCCGCGUGAGUGAAGAAGUAUUUCGGUAUGUAAAGCUCUAUCAGCAGGGAAGAAAUAGCGACCUUUGGGUCGCCAGACGGUACCUGACUAAGAAGCCCCGGCUCACUACGUGCCAGCAGCCGCGGUAAUACGUAGGGGGCAAGCGUUAUCCGGGUUUACUGGGUGUAAAGGGAGCGUAGACGGCAGCACAAGUCUGAAGUGAAAUGCCGGGGCUUAACCCCGGAACUGCUGUGGAAACUGUGGAGCUAGAGUGCAGGAGAGGUAAGUGGAAUUCGUGGUGUAGCGGUGAAAUGCGUAGAUAUUAGGAGGAACACCAGUGGCGAAGGCGGCUUACUGGACUGUAACUGACGUUGAGGCUCGAAAGCGUGGGGAGCAAACAGGAUUAGAUACCCCAGUAGUC